UCGAGGAACAAAGCAACUCCUAUAUUUGCAACACUCUUCUCCUUUACAUACUUGGUAUGCUAGACAUAUAUAUAGUAAAUAAUCAGAUGAGGGAAUGGGAGUUAGUCAAAAGGUCUUAUAUAACAGUACUACUAAGAAUGAUUUGGAUGAAAUAACUAAGCUUUGUCAUGAAUGGGCUGGUGCAAGUUGCAAAUCCACAUGCCAUAAUGUUAUGUUGAUCGAUGCAUUUGAUUACUUUGCCUUUUUCGUGGAGGUUGUAAAAAAAAGUACCUAUAUCCAUCCCGGGUUACACUGUUACACAUGCUCAUUCAUACCUGUGAGUUUGUGAGUUUAUACGUGCUUUUUAAAAUAGGUUCAUCAAAAGGCAAAAUAAAACUG
rnacentral:lncRNA from 1 species